GACGAACGCUGGCGGCGUGCCUAAUACAUGCAAGUAGAACGCUGAAGGAGGAGCUUGCUUCUCUGGAUGAGUUGCGAACGGGUGAGUAACGCGUAGGUAACCUGCCUGGUAGCGGGGGAUAACUAUUGGAAACGAUAGCUAAUACCGCAUAAGAGUAGAUGUUGCAUGACAUUUGCUUAAAAGGUGCAAUUGCAUCACUACCAGAUGGACCUGCGUUGUAUUAGCUAGUUGGUGAGGUAACGGCUCACCAAGGCAACGAUACAUAGCCGACCUGAGAGGGUGAUCGGCCACACUGGGACUGAGACACGGCCCAGACUCCUACGGGAGGCAGCAGUAGGGAAUCUUCGGCAAUGGACGGAAGUCUGACCGAGCAACGCCGCGUGAGUGAAGAAGGUUUUCGGAUCGUAAAGCUCUGUUGUAAGAGAAGAACGAGUGUGAGAGUGGAAAGUUCACACUGUGACGGUAUCUUACCAGAAAGAGACGGCUAACUACGUGCCAGCAGCCGCGGUAAUACGUAGGUCCCGAGCGUUGUCCGGAUUUAUUGGGCGUAAAGCGAGCGCAGGCGGUUAGAUAAGUCUGAAGUUAAAGGCUGUGGCUUAACCAUAGUACGCUUUGGAAACUGUUUAACUUGAGUGCAAGAGGGGAGAGUGGAAUUCCAUGUGUAGCGGUGAAAUGCGUAGAUAUAUGGAGGAACACCGGUGGCGAAAGCGGCUCUCUGGCUUGUAACUGACGCUGAGGCUCGAAAGCGUGGGGAGCAAACAGG
rnacentral:rRNA from 1 species